CUCGGAUCUUGUGUUCCUUCAUACGUACCUUUGUUUACUUGCACUUUAAAUAAAAGAAUCUGAAAAUUGAAUGCGUGAGCUUGUAUUUUGACAAGAAGGAUCUGUUUAAAUCUUCCUCAAAGUUGUAUUGCAUAAAAUUUAAACCAAAAACAAAAGAAAAAAAGCCACAUUAACUGGGUUUUUUAAAAGGCAACGUUCUUGUUUUAUCUUUCAGCCCAAGAACUUGCCAGUCAAGAUGAAAAACUUCUUCUAAUGGAAUCCAGCUUGAAAGCUACUCAAGAGCAGCUAACUGAGCAAAUAGCAGAAACAGUUCGCCAAGAACAGAACAGUAGAAAAGCCCAGGCAGAGCUGAAGACAGUGACGGAAGGGAUUAUAGCUUCUGAAGAAGAAAAAAAUGAUUACAAGUGGCCUGAAUUGAUCAAAUAUGCCAAUUGAUUCGGUAUUGGACAGUGCCAGACACCAUGAUGUUCACCAGGCAGAAGAAAGAAAAGCCACAUCAGGUGUCACAAGAUAUCGCUGGAAAUUCAGUAGGAAAAGGUCUUUGCUUGAGGGAAAAAGAAUGCAUUCUAUUGAAUAAAAACUGUUACAAAACAUCUGUGUCCCAGGCUCCCUUCCAAGGUAGGACACACGGUGGAGUGCUACUGAUGCUGCCACUUUUGUCCUACUUCUUUCCCAGGGAAUCUUUUAUUAUAUCAUCUGUUACAACUUCAUUGCAAGAGGUAUGAAAGAAGAGGAAAAUUAAGUUGCUAAGUAUUUUAAAGCCAGACUGAAAUACUUAGCCCAGUUUCUAAGCAGUGGAACUAUUUCAUCAAAGGAAAUCUUUUUGUGUCCAAAAAAUAAAAUUAAAAGAACUGCAUUCAUUGAAGUAGAGUCCGUAAGCUCGGAAGCUGGAUCUCUUUCCCUCCCUCUGCCACUCCCUGUCCUGGAACCCACUGGCCUCCGCAGAAAGCGCUGGAGAUGAAAAGCACAUAUUGGAAAAACCCUCUCCAGAAGACCAUACGAUGAACAGCCAGAAGGACUACACAAAGGGAGACUGAAAAAUCAGAUCUGUGUUGGGGAGACAAUGAAGGCUAUGAAAACACUUAGGAAAUAAGAAAGUGGUUGCAGCAAAGGCAGAAGGAAAGGAUUUGAGAGAGAUUUAAAAGGCUGAUAUAUAGAUAGCCGGUUGGUUAGUUGGAAGAGCAAAAGGACACAGAUAACACAGGCUUCUUUUAACUUGAUGUGCCAGACAGACAUGAUUGUGUAGUUAACCAGUAGAAAGGAAAGGAACAUCAUUUUUGCAGAUGGAAGAAAAAAAAUCUUAAGUCGGCAUAUUGGGUUUGAAGAGUUUACAGGGUACGCCAGGCAGAGAUAGUCCGUUGCCAUUUGAAGUCAUGAGCUUUCUCACUGACUUGCUUACCAUAAUGAAAAAUUCAAGUACAUAACUUGACACUUUUUGAUCACUCCUCCAAUAAAUAAUUCUCUCCUUAGGGACGCCUAACCACCAAAGCUUUACCUCAUCCACACAAUAAUACAAUCGUUGGAAAAUAUAACAGCUAAUUCGGAUUCCUGAAAUUAAAUAUAGUGGUGGCCUUGCUUGUGGAAGGAUACUUAAUGAUACACAUAUGCAAAGAAAGCUUAUAGACAAAACUGAACAAUGCAAUAUCAAGAAAAAAUAACAAGAUAUUGACAAAGAAAAGAACUGUUAGAAUUGCCACAACUACUCUGGAGAAUCAUUUGUUAACUGCUGUUUUGAAAAUGUGCAUGUUUUAUGACUUAAAAUUUAUACUUGUGGGUAUACCAUAAGGAAAUGUUAUAAAGACUAUACAAAAAAUAUAUAUGUAAAGAUUUUUAUUGAAACACUGCAACUCAACAUCUAUCAGAAGAGAAAUGAAAGAAUACAUGUUAGCAUAUCUGAACAAUGGAAUAUUAUACAGCUGUCAAAAUGAAGAAACCAGAACUGUAUAUAUCAACUUUGAUUGGUCUCACAGACAUAAUAUUGAGUUAACAAAGCAAAGUGCAGAACAUUUUAUGCAGUUUUGAAAUCAUUUUAUGUUAAUUACAGUUAUAAAUAUUAUAAUAUAUAGAUAUUGUGAUAUUUAUACGUACUAAAACGUGAAAACACGAUUAGCCUCAAACUGAAUUAUAAUUAUUGCUUGUCGGGCAUGAGACUGAAGAGAGGAACAUGGAAGAUUAUAAUAUCACC
ensembl:lncRNA